rnacentral:lncRNA from 1 species
AUCUUGAAAACGGAAAAUAAAAACAGCAGACCUAUGAAGGUCGAAGGGGAAGAAAAGCUGUAUCGAUUGUUGAGAUCUGGCGACUUGUUUAAAUUUCAUCAGCCUCACUUCUAUGAACUCUCAGAGCUGAUUACCAACUCCUACCACUGUUAACCCUCAUCCAGGAAAAAGCUUAUGUCUUUAACAUUCUGAGUGGGCUUCAGCAUCCUUGCAUAUGUUCAAUUCUUAAAAACCUGUUGAAAUAAAAGAUCAGGAGACAUAGGAAGGAUGCCAGAAGAGAGCGUGGCCUCAUGUGUACCAGCUCUCUGCUCUCCUUUGCCUUGGGACGUUCCAUCCCUGGAAGUUUCCCUGCCCACAUCUUUGUAGAGAGUCCAUUCUCCAAGCUUCAGUGUGUCAUCUGUGAGGACUGUGACCAACCUGGUACAUCGCCUCAGGGCAUUCAUUUCAGGCUCCUUCUAAAUGGUCAAGUCUUCUGUCAGCCUAACAAGCAUAGCAAGAAGAUAUAGCCCCACAACCACUUUAUGCACAAAGUUAGAAGCAUAAAAUCUCAUGGAAAGAGACCGAUUAUCCACAGAAGAGGUUGUCUUGCCAUUUCUCUCAUGUUAGAGGUAAACCUCAGGUUCUCCUCCUGCCUUUUGCUAAGUAUAUGUCUUGAUGACAAGCCUUCUGCUGAUGAGCUGUGUUUCUGGACCGAUCAUGGUAGAAGUCAAUUAACGUGUCCCUCACUUGGGGUUUCUCAAGGCUGCACUGAUGAGGAAACUGAAACAGAAAAUCCAGAGUAAAUUCCACCAGGCCACACAGCAAGGUCUGAUAGAGCCAGGAGAGACUUUAUGAAAUCCAGACUCUCACACUAAUGCUCUAUCAGCUAGACCUCCAUGUGAGU